rnacentral:rRNA from 1 species
UACAUAGGGGGCGAGCGUUGUCCGGAAUGACUGGGCGUAAAGGGAGUGUAGGCGGUUAUGCAAGUUACAUGUGAAAGCCCAGGGCUUAACUCUGGAACUGCAUGUAAAACUGCAUAACUAGAGUGUGGGAGAGGAAAGUGGAAUUCCUAGUGUAGCGGUGGAAUGCGUAGAUAUUAGGAGGAACACCAGUGGCGAAGGCGGCUUUCUGGACCACAACUGACGCUGAGGCUCGAAAGCGUGGGGAGCAAACAGG